rnacentral:rRNA from 1 species
UACAGAGGGUGCGAGCGUUAAUCGGAAUUACUGGGCGUAAAGCGUGCGUAGACGGUUAUCUAAGUCGGAUGUGAAAGCCCCGGGCUCAACCUGGGAAUUGCAUUCGAGACUGAAUAGCUAGGGUGCGGUAGAGGGAAGCGGAAUUUCCGGUGUAGCGGUGAAAUGCGUAGAUAUCGAGAGGAACACCUGCGGCGAAGGCGGGUUGCUGGGCCGACACUGACGCUGAUGCGCGAAAGCCAGGGGAGCGAACGGG